rnacentral:rRNA from 1 species
UACGUAGGGUGCAAGCGUUAAUCGGAAUUACUGGGCGUAAAGCGUGCGCAGGCGGUUUUGUAAGCCAGAUGUGAAAUCCCCGGGCUUAACCUGGGAAUGGCAUUUGGGACUGCAAGGCUGGAGUACGGCAGAGGAGACUGGAAUUCCUGGUGUAGCAGUGAAAUGCGUAGAGAUCAGGAGGAAUACCGAUGGCGAAGGCAGGUCUCUGGGCUGAUACUGACGCUCAUGCACGAAAGCGUGGGGAGCAAACAGG